rnacentral:rRNA from 1 species
CACGUAGGGCGCGAGCGUUGUCCGGAAUUAUUGGGCGUAAAGAGCUCGUAGGCGGCCUGUUGCGUCCGCUGUGAAAGCCCGGGGUUUAACCCCGGGUCGGCAGUGGAUACGGGCAGGCUAGAGGUAGGUAGGGGAGAAUGGAAUUCCCGGUGUAGCGGUGAAAUGCGCAGAUAUCGGGAGGAACACCGGUGGCGAAGGCGGUUCUCUGGGCCUUACCUGACGCUGAGGAGCGAAAGCGUGGGGAGCGAACAGG